rnacentral:rRNA from 1 species
CACGUAGGGGCCAAGCGUUGUCCGGAUUUAUUGGGCGUAAAGAGCUCGUAGGCGGUCUGUCGCGUCUGCUGUGAAAACUCAGGGCUUAACCCUGAGCUUGCAGUGGGUACGGGCAGACUAGAGUGCGGUAGGGGAGACUGGAAUUCCUGGUGUAGCGGUGAAAUGCGCAGAUAUCAGGAGGAACACCGGUGGCGAAGGCGGGUCUCUGGGCCGUAACUGACGCUGAGGAGCGAAAGCAUGGGGAGCGAACAGG